GCAUCUAUGGGGUAGUAGUUAACCCGUUCCUCUCACAUCUACUUAAGACGCGAUGGUACUGGAAAGGUCCCGGGUGCAAAUCCCGGUGGAUGCA